GGGAAAACCUUUGCAAACUAGGGCGAGUGGAAUUGUGUGUGCACUUCACUAAAGAUGUGUUCACACCUCAUCACUGCCACCACUAUGAAGUGAUGACAUAGAAUGAGUAAACGAAUGCAAAGGUGCAAGCUCUCAUGUGUCUCAUCAGACUAACAUUAUUAUAAGAAAUGAAUCAAAAGAACGCAGUAAGUCUCCUAAUAAUAAUCCUAAUCAUCAUCCUCGACUUUACUACCCCUUUGAAAGCUUGAUAUGAGCCCCCCCUCCACACACACACAAUUUGAUCAGCAAUAACCUGGACGGAACCAAAAGGGAAAUAAAGUCUUUUAUGCGCGUGGUUCACGUGAUUCGAUCCACCGAUUCCUCGUGCGCCGUAAUCCCGCCCACGAGCGACGGAGCCGCGCGACACACACACACACACACGCAAUCUCGCGCCCGAUCGCUCCACCUUGAGACGCGCCGCGAAUUCAGAACGAGACAGGAAGCAGUGGGUGCGCGCCUCGAGCGCCUUCAGCGUCGGUGCAAUCACACCGGAAAUUUGUGUGCGUGUGUGUUUUUUCCAGCAUCGGAUGCACCCGUGCGCAAAACCCGUGCAUCUUGAUCCGUGCAGCGCUCCUUCCUGGUUAUCACUGAUACACUACACAGAGGCAUUACCUCACCCUGGAAAAAAAAAGGUGGAAUAAAGCAAAGCAUUACUGUACUCUC